rnacentral:rRNA from 1 species
UACGUAGGUGGCAAGCGUUGUCCGGAUUUAUUGGGUUUAAAGGGCGCGUAGGCGGGCUGUCAAGUCUGGGGUGAAAUACCGCGGCUCAACCGUGGAACUGCCUUAGAUACUGACGGCCUCGAGGGAGGUAGGGGCGUGCGGAACUGUAGGUGGAGCGGUGAAAUGCGUUGAUAUCUACAGGAACUCCGGUGGCGAAAGCGGCGCGCUGGACCUCUUCUGACGCUGAGGCGCGAAAGCUAGGGGAGCAAACGGG